CAAGACAACUUUACGGAGUUGACGAUUGACGGAGCGAAGCGACGUCAAAGCGUUCAUUAAAGUCGAGUUGGCUUAGGGAUACGUUCGUUGGGUAGGGGAGCGUUCUGUAAGCCUGUGAAGGUGUGUCGUGAGGCAUGCUGGAGGUAUCAGAAGUGCGAAUGCUGACAUAAGUAACGAUAAAGCGGGUGAAAAGCCCGCUCGCCGGAAGACCAAGGGUUCCUGUCCAACGUUAAUCGGGGCAGGGUGAGUCGACCCCUAAGGCGAGGCCGAAAGGCGUAGUCGAUGGGAAACGGGUUAAUAUUCCCGUACUUGGUGUUACUGCGAAGGGGGGACGGAGAAGGCUAUGUUGGCCGGGCGACGGUUGUCCCGGUUUAAGCGUGUAGGUGUGUGUUCCAGGUAAAUCCGGUUCACUUUAACACUGAGACGUGACGACGAGGCACUACGGUGCUGAAGCAACAAAUGCCCUGCUUCCAGGAAAAGCCUCUAAGCAUCAGGUAACACGAAAUCGUACCCCAAACCGACACAGGUGGUCAGGUAGAGAAUACCAAGGCGCUUGAGAGAACUCGGGUGAAGGAACUAGGCAAAAUGGUGCCGUAACUUCGGGAGAAGGCACGCUGACACGUAGGUGAAGUGAUUUACUCAUGGAGCUGAAGUCAGUCGAAGAUACCAGCUGGCUGCAACUGUUUAUUAAAAACACAGCACUGUGCAAACACGAAAGUGGACGUAUACGGUGUGACGCCUGCCCGGUGCCGGAAGGUUAAUUGAUGGGGUCAGCGUAAGCGAAGCUCCUGAUCGAAGCCCCGGUAAACGGCGGCCGUAACUAUAACGGUCCUAAGGUAGCGAAAUUCCUUGUCGGGUAAGUUCCGACCUGCACGAAUGGCGUAAUGAUGGCCAGGCUGUCUCCACCCGAGACUCAGUGAAAUUGAACUCGCUGUGAAGAUGCAGUGUACCCGCGGCAAGACGGAAAGACCCCGUGAACCUUUACUAUAGCUUGACACUGAACAUUGAGCCUUGAUGUGUAGGAUAGGUGGGAGGCUUUGAAGUGUGGACGCCAGUCUGCAUGGAGCCGACCUUGAAAUACCACCCUUUAAUGUUUGAUGUUCUAACGUGGACCCGUAAUCCGGGUUGCGGACAGUGUCUGGUGGGUAGUUUGACUGGGGCGGUCUCCUCCUAAAGAGUAACGGAGGAGCACGAAGGUUGGCUAAUCCUGGUCGGACAUCAGGAGGUUAGUGCAAUGGCAUAAGCCAGCUUGACUGCGAGCGUGACGGCGCGAGCAGGUGCGAAAGCAGGUCAUAGUGAUCCGGUGGUUCUGAAUGGAAGGGCCAUCGCUCAACGGAUAAAAGGUACUCCGGGGAUAACAGGCUGAUACCGCCCAAGAGUUCAUAUCGACGGCGGUGUUUGGCACCUCGAUGUCGGCUCAUCACAUCCUGGGGCUGAAGUAGGUCCCAAGGGUAUGGCUGUUCGCCAUUUAAAGUGGUACGCGAGCUGGGUUUAGAACGUCGUGAGACAGUUCGGUCCCUAUCUGCCGUGGGCGCUGGAGAACUGAGGGGGGCUGCUCCUAGUACGAGAGGACCGGAGUGGACGCAUCACUGGUGUUCGGGUUGUCAUGCCAAUGGCACUGCCCGGUAGCUAAAUGCGGAAGAGAUAAGUGCUGAAAGCAUCUAAGCACGAAACUUGCCCCGA
rnacentral:rRNA from 1 species